rnacentral:rRNA from 1 species
AACGAACGCUGGCGGCAUGCCAAACACAUGCAAGUCGAACGAACCCUUCGGGGUUAGUGGCGCACGGGUGCGUAACACGUGGGAAUCUGCCCUUUGCUUCGGAAUAACAGUUAGAAAUGACUGCUAAUACCGGAUGAUGUCUUCGGACCAAAGAUUUAUCGGCAAGGGAUGAGCCCGCGUAGGAUUAGGUAGUUGGUGGGGUAAAGGCCUACCAAGCCGACGAUCCUUAGCUGGUCUGAGAGGAUGAUCAGCCACACUGGGACUGAGACACGGCCCAGACUCCUACGGGAGGCAGCAGUGGGGAAUAUUGGACAAUGAGCGCAAGCCUGAUCCAGCAAUGCCGCGUGAGUGAUGAAGGCCUUCGGGUCGUAAAGCUCUUUUACCAGGGAUGAUAAUGACAGUACCUGGAGAAUAAGCUCCGGCUAACUCCGUGCCAGCCGCCGCGGUAACAC